rnacentral:rRNA from 1 species
GGUGAACGCUGGCGGCGCGCCUAACACAUGCAAGUCGAACGGUUAAAGCACCUUUUAGGUGUGUAUAAAGUGGCGAACGGCUGAGUAACACGUGGGCAACCUGCCCUCCUCUUGGGGAUAGCCUCGGGAAACCGAGGAUAAUACCCGAUACUUCAAUGUGGCCGCAUGACGACAUUGAGAAAGCUUUUGCGGAGAAGGAUGGGCCCGCGGCCUGUUAGCUUGUUGGUGGGGUAGAGGCCUACCAAGGCAAUGAUGGGUAGCUGGGUUGAGAGACCGACCAGCCAGAUUGGGACUGAGACACGGCCCAGACUCCUACGGGAGGCAGCAGUGGGGAAUCUUGCACAAUGGGCGAAAGCCUGAUGCAGCGACGCCGCGUGCGGGACGAAGGCCUUCGGGUUGUAAACCGCUUUCAGCAGGGACGAGGCGAUAAGUGACGGUACCUGCAGAAGAAGCCCCGGCUAACUACGUG